CCUACGGGGGGCAGCAGUGGGGGAUAUUGCACAAUGGGGGGAACCCUGAUGCAGCGACGCCGCGUGGGUGAAGAAGCGCCUCGGCGCGUAAAGCCCUGUCAGCAGGGAAGAAAAUGACGGUACCUGAAGAAGAAGCCCCGGCUAACUACGUGCCAGCAGCCGCGGUAAUACGUAGGGGGCAAGCGUUAUCCGGAUUUACUGGGUGUAAAGGGGGCGCAGGCGGGGAUGGAAGCCAGGAGUGAAAGCCCGGGGGCCAACCCCGGGACUGCUCUUGGAACUGGGUGGCUGGAGUGCAGGAGGGGCAGGCGGAAUGCCUGGUGUAGCGGUGAAAUGCGUAGAUAUCAGGAGGAACACCGGUGGCGAAGGCGGCCUGCUGGACUGCAACUGACGUUGAGGCCCGAAAGCGUGAGGAGCAAACAGGAUUAGAUACCCCUGUAGUC
rnacentral:rRNA from 1 species